AUGAAAUGAGGGGAGUUCUGCCUUUGGGACUCGUCCUUCCUUCGUUCAGAAGAAAGAAAAGGGGAGAUGAACCUCGAGCCCCACGCACCCCACGCACCUUUCUUUCCCGAGCACGCAACCUCUCCUUCCCUCUCCAGAAAAACACCAUCCUUCGACCUGGAUCGGCUCAUGUGACCGUCGGGCCUUGUCGCCACCGACGCCGACGCCUGCAAACGGCGGCAGGCUGGAUCUUGAUGGCGUGCUCGUAGCGCUGCCCACCAUCUGCGUGAUCUGGGCCGACGGGUUCAUCUCCUCCCACCUCUGUGAGAAUCUCAUGGCCGAGACCCCGCACUCCGUCCUCAUCGUCGACCACCUCGUCGACCCACCCCCGCCCCACGUCGCCGGCUGCAUCUCCUUCCGCUGCCUCAACGUCAUGAACAACUCCCGCCUGGAGGGCCUCAUCAAGACGUCCGAUCUGGUGCGCCCCUCCCCACCUCCCCUCCCUUCCCCGCUCACUCAUGUCCUUUAAGCGGAUUGGUCUGCAAAAUUUUGUUAUUGUCUCCUUUAGUGUUCUUGAGCUUGCUUCAUUUAAUUGGGUUGGGUGAAGACGUUGGUAGUACAAGGAAAGAAGUACAGCAUCAGGCUGCAGAAAUAUCUUUAAGAAAUUUGGCAAGUAAGUUUGUUUUAUUGCAUAUUUGUACUAACCUCUCCAGUUUCGUUUUCGCAGAUAUAAGAUAAUAUGUUAUGUAAUCAAGAGAUUCAUUUUAAAUUUGGAUUGUUCACAUGUUUACUCGAAGCAUAUAUGCUCUAUUGUGUGGAGUUGAUUUUUCCCUUUUUAGCACCAUCUAUCUUGGAAUUAGAUUGGAUACUGUGAGAAUAUAAUCAUGACUAUUUCUUGAUGGGUACUUGCUGCAUGAUUUUUCCACUGCAUGUCCAAGUUUACAUGUGAAAGGAUCUUGCUUGAUUCCAUUCUACUGGUUCAUCUGAAUUACCGAAUACAGAUGCAGGUCUCCUGUAUCUUCACUAAUUUCCUCUGUAGGUUCCUGUUUAGGGAGAAAAGAAAAUCCUGUUAUCCUCGUCCAGGGAUAGACCAUUUGGCACCAAUGAAUCAGCUGUUGAGUACAAAUAAUGUGGGAAGUUCUUCUUUGGCAAUCACGAUGUGUUCGUACAUAUGGUUGAAAGGAUCGCGUUGAUAGUGUUGCUACUUGCUACCAAUGCUUUUGUUGAGGAGGCUGCAGACCUGUUGUGUUUGCUGCUGGGUCCUGGUUGCCCUGGAGUGUUAAAUUCAGAACGUAAGUGAAUGAUCACUGUACCCCAGCCACCCGGCUUGGCACAAGAUAGGAAAAGUGGUUUGGUGUACAAGGAGACUACAACUUUUUUGUUAAGGACUGCUGGGGCCAAGUCUGGUGGAUCUGUUUAAUUUUUGUAGCAGAGCAGUUCCGCUCUCUGUUUAUUGCCCAAAUGCGGUACAUAGGGCAGGAGGGGCAGGGCGGAGGUUCGACCUCCUGCACCUUCCAUCCCAGGCCUAUCUUUGUCAUUCUCGGCGGCCGGCCGAGCUCUGCGCUCCGGAACAACCAAAACAUGCUUGAGAUCUCAGUAAAAAAAAAGGAUUUUGUUUUACUGUGUUUGCUCUAAAAAAUUGUUCUGGCCAUUUCACUGGGGAUGCAGU
rnacentral:rRNA from 1 species